rnacentral:rRNA from 1 species
UGGGGAAUAUUGCACAAUGGGCGCAAGCCUGAUGCAGCCAUGCCGCGUGUAUGAAGAAGGCCUUCGGGUUGUAAAGUACUUUCAGUCGGGAGGAAGGUGGUAAGGUUAAUAACCUUAUCAAUUGACGUUACCGACAGAAGAAGCACCGGCUAACUCCGUGCCAGCAGCCGCGGUAAUACGGAGGGUGCAAGCGUUAAUCGGAAUUACUGGGCGUAAAGCGCACGCAGGCGGUUGAUUGAGUCAGAUGUGAAAUCCCCGGGCUUAACCCGGGAAUUGCAUCUGAUACUGGUCAGCUAGAGUCUUGUAGAGGGGGGUAGAAUUCCAUGUGUAGCGGUGAAAUGCGUAGAGAUGUGGAGGAAUACCGGUGGCGAAGGCGGCCCCCUGGACAAAGACUGACGCUGAGGCUCGAAAGCGUGGGGAGCAAACAGG